UUGACAUCCACGGAAGUUUUCAGAGAUGAGAAUGUGCCUUCGGGAACCGUGAGACAGGUGCUGCAUGGCUGUCGUCAGCUCGUGUUGUGAAAUGUUGGGUUAAGUCCCGCAACGAGCGCAACCCUUAUCCUUUGUUGCCAGCGGUCCGGCCGGGAACUCAAAGGAGACUGCCAGUGAUAAACUGGAGGAAGGUGGGGAUGACGUCAAGUCAUCAUGGCCCUUACGACCAGGGCUACACACGUGCUACAAUGGCGCAUACAAAGAGAAGCGACCUCGCGAGAGCAAGCGGACCUCAUAAAGUGCGUCGUAGUCCGGAUUGGAGUCUGCAACUCGACUCCAUGAAGUCGGAAUCGCUAGUAAUCGUGGAUCAGAAUGCCACGGUGAAUACGUUCCCGGGCCUUGUACACACCGCCCGUCACACCAUGGGAGUGGGUUGCAAAAGAAGUAGGUAGCUUAACCUUCGGGAGGGCGCUUACCACUUUGUGAUUCAUGACUGGGGUGAAGUCGUAACAAGGUAACCGUAGGGGAACCUGCGGUUGGAUCAC
rnacentral:rRNA from 2 species